UCUGAACACUAGCCUCUCUUGACCUGUGGUUGUGAGCUGGACUCCUGGUGGUCAUCUUUGCUGAAAUGUGGGGAAGCCAGCUAUAACAAUACAGCGAGCCUUUCAAGAACCUUGUGUCCUGCACCACUUUCUACCUGUUCUUAUUGCUUUGAUGAGGACAAUCAACGGCUGACUUGGACUCACAGACAAUCCAGGCCAAGGGACAGGUGGUGGACCUCUGAGAUUACUUGACGCCUCUCAAAUAUAUCCCCACCACUCCCCACCUUCCAGCAGCUGUCUACUAGUUCCUUCAACCUUGCCAUGUUAGCGUCAUCCUUAUGAAGGAGGCUUCUGAAGCCGAUGCCAGGAGCAGAAUUCCUGAAUAUGGCUGCCAUAUCCUGAGAAGACUCAUCCUCUCUGCUUGGUGCAGAGACAGAUGAUGCUUAUCCACAAUUGCCAAGACCUCCCCACCUCUGUGAAGCCCAACCCCAUGUGUGAGAUCUUGUACUCCGUGCUACUCUCCAACCACCUCUCUAGAAGUUGGAACGUGGGUAAGAGUUCCUGCCAUCCUACUCCAUGGACACUAAUA